rnacentral:rRNA from 1 species
GAUGAACGCUGGCGGCGUGCCUAGCACAUGCAAGUCGAGCGAACGGACGAGAAGCUUGCUUCUCUGAUGUUAGCGGCGGACGGGUGAGUAACACGUGGAUAACCUACCUAUAAGACUGGGAUAACUUCGGGAAACCGGAGCUAAUACCGGACAAUAUUUUGAACCGCAUGGUUCAAAAGUGAAAGACGGUCUUGCUGUCACUUAUAGAUGGAUCCGCGCUGGAUUAGCUAGUUGGUAAGGUAACGGCUUACCAAGGCAACGAUGCAUAGCCGACCUGAGAGGAUGAUCAGCCACACUGGAACUGAGACACGGUCCAGACUCCUACGGGAGGCAGCAGUAGGGAAUCUUCGGCAAUGGGCGAAAGCCUGACGGAGCAACGCCGCGUGAGUGAUGAAGGUCUUCGGAUCGUAAAACUCUGUUAUUAGGGAAGAACAUAUGUAAAAGUAAACGUGCCCAUCUUGACGGUACCUAAUGAGAAAGCCACGGCUAACUACGUG